GCACUUCCCCUGCCAUAGUAAUGCUACACAUCUCUGAGCAUUUUUUCUCUCUGGAUAUUAUUGUACUUUUAUAUUAUGCUACUUUGAGUUUUAACAGAUAAAUCACAAAAAUGCCCGUAGACUAUCAUUUUCUCAGUAACUGUAGCCCCCACAGCACUUUCUCCUUCCUUUUGCUAAGUCCCACCAUGUCAUGCUUUCUCCCUUAAAUUAUUUCUCUCUCAUAAUGACUGAACAGAGAAAAGGCUCGAGUUGCACCUACUGUAAGAAAUGUCAACAUGCCAAAAUUUACUUCUAAAUGGUUUUCCAGCUCACAAGUUUUAAUAGCAAACUAUCUCAUUAUCCAUGUUCCAGUGUUUUUCCAAAAAUGAUGAAUGAGAUGCUGUUUUCUUAAAAAUACAUGCAUAUAAUUUUUUGGUCAGACAGUAAUAGUUGAUAUUGUAUAUUUAUUUUGUCCCCUUUAUAAGAACUUUGUAUCUGGGCAAAGUAGAUUUCCUCUGAGGAAAUCCUAUUUGAAAAAUUUUAAACCCCAAAAUUUUAAAUUUUGUUC
rnacentral:lncRNA from 1 species